rnacentral:lncRNA from 1 species
GCCAAAACUAGACAAAGCUACAAACUCAGGGGACCGACAGUUCCGCAACAAAUAGUAGCAACAGAGAGACAAUAUGCACAAUGUACACCUAGGUACGAACCACGUUUGGCGUACCAAUAUAGGGAAUGUAAUUACAAUCAGCCGCGUUAUACAGUUAGGCCACUACAGAAUAGAAUUCCGUAUAAUUAUAAUCCACAAUUUCGUCCACAGAUAACCGAAAGAUAUAGGCAAAGAUUUGCUCCGAGGUUACCGCCGCCUCCAAGAUUUAGCACACAGCGAAGUAACGAACGAGAUCAGCACCUUUGGUAUCAGUCAUCGCGUCCGCCGGAAAUUCAACGUCGAUUCACUACACAACAAAAUUACUCGCCAAAUUGUCAGCGUGGUGGUCGGAAUCAAUCCUAUCAUAAUAGGAGUUCCUGACUACUACGGGAUAAAUCAGCGAACAAACAACAUACGGAAGCAGAUAAUAAUAGGCGAACGUCUUCACGCGCCGUUAUAUCUGUUACCGCACAAAAGAAGAGUAAUCAAUAUAAAAACAAAAACAAUAAAAAUUAUACAAGACAAUACAAAGGAAUGUGCGAAAUUAAAAUGGCUAGGGAUACAGAUCCGAAUUUAAAAUGUUUAAUUGAGAAUAGGAUAGCGUAUCUGACAAUCGAUACGGGAGCUAAAGUGACUUUAUUGUCCAAAACAUUUGUGAAUGGUUUACGAACACACUUAACUCCGUCACACAAAUCCAAUACAGAAUUACAAAGCGUCACUAGGCACAUUAUACGAACCUACGGGAAGUACGAGUUCUUUUUCCGAAUCGGAACAUUACAGUUUAAACACGCU